rnacentral:lncRNA from 1 species
AGCUAUGUUGGGAGGUCCAGGGGGCUGCAGGCGGAGGGCCUGAACAACAUCGAAGUUGGUCACUAGCCGCACAGCCACAGCAGAGGACCGUUCAUCCUACUACCUCAUAGGAACAAGUCUUUUGUCUUUCGUUCCCGCCACCACUAGCCUACUGCUAGUCGACUGUACUGCACUCAACGCAUGACGCGCGCACGAGCCCUCGACACGAGCCAAGGUCUGUAUGUACCUUUCGGAAAACACUUUCCCGUUGAUUCGGUCCUGGAAAGCCCUACGUGUCUGUGAGAACAUGGCGUUUGUGAGAACAUGGCCGAACACGACCAGCGACAAUGCCAACCGCCGCGCAGCCCCAUCGAUUUACAGUAGCACCGGUACAUGCAGUAUGUGCUUUUUUUCACCGCGUGCCAGGCGUGUCGACAUCCAUAUUUAUUUUUCACAGUAGGCUGGCGAUUAGAUAUCUUACUCACCAGCAUCGCCGCGCGUCUUACCCUAACGAUCUCUGUCAGGGACGUUCCACACCCACAGCGACCCCUUCCCCUCAGGUAGCGCCGCAACAGGGGAAUCAGAAGCUGCUGGACUCGCAGCUAGGCGUAAGACUUUAAAUUACAAUAAUGAAAGGGUGAAAACAUCUCUACGUGUGGUGCUA